UGGAAGCGAGGCUGAGGGCACAGCAAUAUAGGCUGUUAUAAUACGUGCCUUAUUGCUGGGCCCCUCAGCCUCGCUUCCA